GUCUUUUGUAUUUAACUGUUCGAGUUCCAUGAAGUUGUGAAAAGGAAAACUUUAUUAAUAGCAUUGAAGACCCAUUGAAAACCGUUGUCUGCUCUUUGGUGGGGUUCUUGUCUCUUUGACAUAUAUUCCCCAUUUCAAUUCUCAAUUUUUAAAGCAAUUGCUUUUAUGCUAUCGCGUAUGGCCAUCUUUGUGACCCAGAUCAGAGACUCCGCCCAUAUCAAGCCAUAGUAUUUUGUUAAACAGGCUCCUGGUCUGUCAUUCUUUAACACCUAUGUAUGUUUUCUAAUGCAAUACAUAGCUUGAAACUUUAAAAAAACGUUAGUGGAUUU
rnacentral:lncRNA from 1 species